rnacentral:rRNA from 1 species
CGAACGGGUGAGUAAUGCGUGACCAACCUGCCCCAUGCUCCAGAAUAGCUCUUGGAAACGGGUGGUAAUGCUGGAUGCUCCAAACUUGACGCAUGUCUUGUUGGGAAAGUGUUUAGUGGCAUGGGAUGGGGUCGCGUCCUAUCAGCUUGUAGGCGGGGUAAUGGCCCACCUAGGCUUCGACGGGUAGCCGGCCUGAGAGGGCGGACGGCCACAUUGGGACUGAGAUACGGCCCAGACUCCUACGGGAGGCAGCAGGA